GGUCUUAUAGUCAAUAAAAUGAUAUUAAAUUGCAAAUUUAAAGUAGGGUUUUCCUAAGGCUU
rnacentral:tRNA from 1 species